UCAUCGGCGAAGCGACCGUCUCUUUUCAGAGCCUCGGCCGCAGUUAUUCCCUUCUCCCCGUAAACACAAAGAUACUCGAACUGUUUUAAAGCGUCAUUUUUAAAAAAAACUUUUCUCUUUUUUGGCAUUUAGUCCUCCCUUUGUAGCGAUGUAAAAGACAGAAUAGCAAUCUCUCGCCUUAACCAUCUUCUUAUUUUUACUGAAAGGCCUCCGUGCAAGCUUGAACAUGUUGCGUGUGUCGUCUGAACUGGAUUUCAGUCUGGACUGAUGUCCGUGUUGGUCCUGCAGGAAAUCAGAGUUGGAAAAGUUGUUAAUGUAGCAAAAAAACAAAAUGUAUUGCAUUUUGUUCAUAAUCUCUUUUAAGUCAUGAUAGUUUUUUAUCGCUUUCACUGUAAAUGAGUCUGCACAGUUAAAAAACUGAUUUACAUUUAUCCUUUAUUACUUUUAUCAUCCGAUCUCAUUCAUACACAUUUAAGAAAUAACGUGGAAAAUAUCCUUUUGUUUGCAUUUGGAGACUCGGCAUUUGAACCAUCCCCAAAUAUCUGGACCAGGGAACCAACUCCUCAAACCGUAUACAGGAGUUGCUGCUCACAGUUGCACUAAUGUGUCUGGCAGCUGUCCCCAAUUGGAAUGUCAGGCCGCACUCACGCCUGACACCUCCUUGACCUUAUGUGCACGAGCCCUCGACUCAGCUGCAAAGUGCUUACGGGUCAGUUUCAUCAGAAUUAUCUGCCGUCAUUCAGACAUAAGUUGAGCAACGGUUUAACCAAUUUUCCAUCAAAGGGAUUAAACAGAACAUAGGAUGUAAGUUAAGGAAAUAUAAGUUUGACUAUGGAGCCUUCAGCGUUCACAAUAAUGGGUUGCAUUUCUCUCAGUCAACUGACUGUUUAGGGGGUAAAAGCGGCUAAUAGUUAGUGGGCUCUGUGGUUGUUGUUUGUUAAUCACAGACUAGGAGUGAACAAAAGCAGAAAAAACCCUGUAAAGAUGCAGACUGUGAAAGUCUGGUUUAUACCAUAAAUCUUACCGGCUGUAACUGGGUUUUUUUUUUUUUAAGUUAUAAGCACGUGUCAAGACUUCUGUCUCCCAUUGCUGAUGUGAUCCUCCUUUUUUCUUCCCUAUUAAUGAUCUACGGUCCCCAUAAAAUAAUAAGACUUUAAUGAAAAUGUGAUACAGAGAUUUGAUUUCUUGUGCAUGCAUCGGAUAAAAAAGUAAUUUUGU
rnacentral:lncRNA from 1 species